rnacentral:rRNA from 1 species
UUGGAGGGCAAGUCUGGUGCCAGCAGCCGCGGUAAUUCCAGCUCCAAUAGCGUAUAUUAAAGUUGUUGCAGUUAAAAAGCUCGUAGUUGAAUUUCGGGAUUAGUACGUCGGUCGUGCCUUAGGUACGUACUGGUGUUACUGGUUCCUACCUUCUGACGAACCAUCAUGUCAUUAAUUUGGUGUGGUGGGGAAUCAGGACUGUUACUUUGAAAAAAUUAGAGUGUUUAAAGCAGGCUCGCGCUUGAAUACAUUAGCAUGGAAUAAUGAAAUAGGACGUUGAUCCUAUUUUGUUGGUUUCUAGGAUUGACGUAAUGAUUAAUAGGGAUAGUUGGGGGCAUUAGUAUCCAAUUGUCAGAGGUGAAAUUCUUGGAUUUAUUGAAGACUAACUACUGCGAAAGCAUUUGCCAAGGAUGUUUUCAUUAAUCAGGAACGAAAGUUAGGGGAUCGAAGACGAUCAGAUACCGUCGUAGUCUUAACCAUAAACUAUGCCGACUAGGGAUCGGACGGUGUUAUUUUUUGACCCGUUCGGCACCUUACGGGAAAC